AUGCCUGAUAUCUGCAAACAAUUGUGGCCAAGUCCUCUACAUUCAUUCAAGCUUCCAGAUACAAAUGAAACCUGUGACUGUGAGAAAAUAAAAGGCUUUCUACAGGGCAAGCUUGAUGCUUGCUUGGAGCUCUUGAUUAGAACAGGACGACUGCCAGAAGCUGCCUUCCUAGCCCGAACUUACUUACCUAGUCAUGUUUCAAGGGUAGUCAAACUGUGGAGAGAGAACCUCUCAAAAGUCAAUCAAAAAGCAGCAGAAUCCCUUGCUGACCCUACAGAAUAUGAAAACCUUUUCCCUGGAUUAAAAGAAGCCUUUGUUGUUGAAGAAUGGGUGAAGGAAACACAUGCUGAUCUGUGGCCAGCCAAACAGUAUCCAUUUGUCACGCCAAAUGAAGAGAGAAAUGUUAUGGAGGAGGCAAAAGGCUUUCAGCCCUCAAGAUCUGUAGCUCAACAGGAACUUGAUGAAAAACCUGCUUCCCCUACGCCAGUUAUUGUGGCUUCCCAAACAGUCAACAAAGAAGAAAAGAGUUUGCUGGAGCUAGAAGUAGAUUUGGAUAAUUUGGAAUUAGAAGAUAUUGACACAACAGAUAUAAAUCUGGAUGAAGACAUGCUGGACGACUAAGUAUAGUUCUACAUGUAUUUCACCAAACAGAUCGUUUAGAUAGAGAUACUGAUCAUUACCUUGUCCACAAUGCUUGGAACUAGGAGAAGUUCCUUAACUUUUAUAAGUAAAUGCUGUGGACUAGUGGGUGCAGAAUGGCCUUCUUAAGAGGAACUUAAGUGUACAUUUAAAUUACUGUCUUCCUCACUAAAACAGACAUGUUCUGUGAUUGAUUUUUCAUGCUGAUACUAUACUGUAUCUCAUAAAAUCUUUUU